GUAGGAGACGAGCGUUAUCCGGAUUUACUGGGUGUAAAGCGCGUGCAGGCGGUUUGUUAAGUUGGAUGUGAAAGCUCCCGGCUAAACUGGGAGAGGUCGUUCAAAACUGGCAGACUAGAGUGUGGUAGAGGAGAGUGGAAUUCCGAGUGUAGCGGUAAAAUGCAUAGAUAUUCGGAAGAACACCAGUGGCGAAGGCGACUUUCUGGACCACAACUGACGCUCAGACGCGAAAGCCAGGGUAGCAAACGGGAUUAGAGACCCCGGUAGUCCUGGCAGUAAACGAUGUGAACUUGGCGUCGGCGGGAUAAAACCUGUCGGUGCCGAAGCAAACGCGAUAAGUUCACCACCUGGGGACUACGGCCGCAAGGUUA
rnacentral:rRNA from 1 species